rnacentral:rRNA from 1 species
GAUGAACGCUGGCGGCGUGCCUAAUACAUGCAAGUCGAGCGAAUGGAUUAAGAGCUUGCUCUUAUGAAGUUAGCGGCGGACGGGUGAGUAACACGUGGGUAACCUGCCCAUAAGACUGGGAUAACUCCGGGAAACCGGGGCUAAUACCGGAUAACAUUUUGAACCGCAUGGUUCGAAAUUGAAAGGCGGCUUCGGCUGUCACUUAUGGAUGGACCCGCGUCGCAUUAGCUAGUUGGUGAGGUAACGGCUCACCAAGGCAACGAUGCGUAGCCGAACUGAGAGGGUGAUCGGCCACACUGCGACUGAGACACGACCCAGACUCCUUCGGGAGGCAGCAGUAGGGAAUCUUCCGCAAUGGACGAAAGUCUGACGGAGCAACGCCGCGUGAGUGAUGAAGGCUUUCUGGUCGUAAAACUCUGUUGUUAGGGAAGAACAAGUGCUAGUUGAAUAAGCUGGCACCUUGACGGUACCUAACCAGAAAGCCACGGCUAACUACGUGCCAGCCGCCGCAGUAA